rnacentral:rRNA from 1 species
GGAUUAUGCUGAGCGGUGUGCCUGAGAUAUGCAAGUCGAGCGUCCCGAUUCCGCAAGGAAUCGGGAGCGGCGGACGGCUGAGUAAUAUACAGGAAUCUGCCUCUUUCUGGGGGAUAGCUCGCCGAAAGGCGGGGUAAUACCUCAUGUGUCCUCCGGGAUAAAGGACGUAACUGUUCGGAAAGAGAUGAGCCUGUAUUCUAUCAGGUAGUUGGUGGGGUAAUGGCCUACCAAGCCUAUGACGGAUAGCUGGUCUGAGAGGAUGACCAGCCAGAGGGGGACUGAGACACGGCCCCCACUCCUACGGGAGGCAGCAAUCAGGAAUAGUUGGCAAUGGACGAAAGUCUGACCAUGCGACACCGUGUGCGGGAUGAAGUUCUAAACGAAUGUAAACCGCUGUGGUAGAGGAAGAAGCCCUUACGGGUUGACGGUACUCUACUAGAAAGGAGCCGCUAACUGCGUGCCAGAAGCGUCGGUAAUACGUGGGCUCCAAGCAUUAUCCGGUUUUAUUGGGCGUAAAGGGUCGUGUAGGUGGUAGAUUAAGUUAUCUCUUAAAUUUUCUCGCUUAACGAGAAGCAUGGGGAUAAUACUGGUUUACUAGAGUUUCCUUUAGGGAGAUUGGAACUGAGGGAGGAGUAGUGAAAUGCGUUGAUACCCUCGGGAACACCAGUGGCGAAGGCGAAUCUCUGGAAGGAAACUGACACUGAGACACGAAAGCUAGGGGAGCGAAGCAGAUUAGAGACCUGCGUAGUCCUAGCUGUAAACGAAUGCUUGCUAGCUGCAUGAAGUCAGUCUUUAGUCGUUAGUCUCGAGUCUUUAGACUCAAGACACAUGACUCAAGUCUCACGACUGAUGUCUGAUUUCGUGUGGCGUAGGAAACCCGUUAAGCAAGCCGCCUGGGGAGUACGACCGCAAGGUUAAAACUCAAAGGAAUUGGCGGGGAGGCACACAACCAGUGGAACAUGUGGUUCAAUUUGAUACGAACCAAAGAACCUCACCCGGAUUUGAAAUCCAAGCGUUCUAUUUCCUGGAAACAGGAGAAAUGCGCAAGCAGGCUUGGACAGGUGCUGCAUGGCUGUCGUCAGUUCGUUCCGUGAGGAGUGCCCUUAAGUGGGACAACGAACGCAACCCCCAUCUUGUGUUAUAUAUGUCACAAGAGACUGCCUCGAUUUUUAUCGGGGAGGAAGGAGGGGCAGACGUCAAGUCCGCAUGGUCCUUAUAUCCGGGGCUACACACAUGUUACAAUGGAUGCUCACAACGAGUUUUGCUAGCUCGCAAGGGUAAGCAAAUCUCUUAAAAGCAUCCCCAGUGGGGAUUGA